UCGCCGCCCGUGACUUGGCGAGAAGUCCAUUGAACCUUAUCAUUUAGAGGAAGGAGAAGUCGUAACAAGGUUUCCGUAGGUGAACCUGCGGAAGGAUCAUUG
rnacentral:rRNA from 6 species